rnacentral:rRNA from 1 species
CGGGUGAGUAAUGCGUGACCAACCUGCCCCAUGCUCCAGAAUAGCUCUUGGAAACGGGUGGUAAUGCUGGAUGCUCCAACUUGACGCAUGUCUUGUUGGGAAAGUGUUUAGUGGCAUGGGAUGGGGUCGCGUCCUAUCAGCUUGUAGGCGGGGUAAUGGCCCACCCUAGGCUUCGACGGGUAGCCGGCCUGAGAGGGCGGACGGCCACAUUGGGACUGAGAUACGGCCCAGACUCCUACGGGAGGGCAGCAGCA